rnacentral:rRNA from 1 species
AGAGUUUGAUCAUGGCUCAGAAUCAACGCUGGCGGCGCGCCUAACACAUGCAAGUCGCACGAGAAAGCGGGAGCAAUCUCGCAAGUACAGUGGCGUACGGGUGAGUAACACGUGGAUUAUCUGCCCUGGAGUGGGGAAUAACGCUGGGAAACCGGCGCUAAUACCGCAUAUUCCCGAGAGGGGAAAGCAGCAAUGCGCUCGAGGAGGAGUCCGCGGCCGAUUAGCUAGUUGGCAGGGUAAAAGCCUACCAAGGCUGUGAUCGGUAGCCGGCCUGAGAGGGCACACGGCCACACUGGCACUGAAACACGGGCCAGACUCCUACGGGAGGCAGCAGUGGGGAAUCUUGCACAAUGGGGGAAACCCUGAUGCAGCGACGCCGCGUGAGCGAUGAAGCCCUUCGGGGGUGUAAAGCUCUUUCGGCAGGGAAGAUUAUGACGGUACCUGCAGAAGCAGCUGCGGCUAACUACGUGCCAGCAGCCGCGGUAAUACGUAGGCAGCAAGCGUUGUUCGGAGUUACUGGGCGUAAAGGGUGUGUAGGCGGCCUGUUAAGUUCCGUGUGAAAUCUCCCGGCUCAACCGGGAGGGUGCGCGGAAAACUGGCGGGCUAGAGUGCGGGAUGGGAGAGUAGAAUUCCUGGUGUAGCGGUGAAAUGCGUAGAUAUCAGGAGGAAUACCGGUGGUGUAGACGGCUCUCUGGACCGCAACUGACGCUGAAACACGAAAGCGUGGGUAGCAAACAGGAUUAGAUACCCUAGUAGUCC